UAAGGCUUAGGUUAAAAAAACCAACUACCUUCAAAGUAAUUAAUAGGCAAAGCGCGCCUAGCCUUAU
rnacentral:tRNA from 1 species